rnacentral:piRNA from 1 species
UAGCAAUCUUGUUGUUUCGUGCUUAAGG